GAUUAUGGCUCAGAACGAACGCUGGCGGCGCGUCUUAAGCAUGCAAGUCGAACGGCAAGAGGUAGCAAUACCUCCUAGAGUGGCGGACUGGUGAGUAACACGUGGGUGACAUACCCUUCAGAUGGGGAUAGCUAUUAGAAAUAGUAGAUAAUACCGAAUACGAGCACAGGGGUUAGAGAUCUGUGAGGAAAGGAGCUAAGGCUCCGCUGAAGGAAUGGCCUGCGGCCCAUUAGCUAGUUGGUGAGGUAAGAGCCCACCAAGGCGAUGGUGGGUAUCCGGCCUUAGAGGGUGAACGGACACAUUGGGACUGAGAUACGGCCCAGACUCCUACGGGAGGCAGCAGCUAAGAAUAUUCCGCAAUGGACGAAAGUCUGACGGAGCGACGCCGCCGUGGAUGAAGAAGGCCGGAAGGUUGUAAAAUCCUUUUGAAACUGAAGAAUAAGCGUUGUAGGGAAUGACAGCGUGGUGACAGUAGGUUUCGAAUAAGCAACGGCUAAUUACGUGCCAGCCGCCGC
rnacentral:rRNA from 1 species